rnacentral:rRNA from 1 species
GACGAACGCUGGCGGCAUGCCUAACACAUGCAAGUCGAGCGAGUAGAUCCCUUCGGGGUGAAGCUAGCGGCGGACGGGUGAGUAACACGUGGGCAACCUGCCUCAUAGAGGGGAAUAGCCUUCCGAAAGGAAGAUUAAUACCGCAUAAGAUUGUAGCUUCGCAUGAAGCAGCAAUUAAAGGAGUAAUCCGCUAUGAGAUGGGCCCGCGGCGCAUUAGCUAGUUGGUGAGGUAACGGCUCACCAAGGCGACGAUGCGUAGCCGACCUGAGAGGGUGAUCGGCCACAUUGGGACUGAGACACGGCCCAGACUCCUACGGGAGGCAGCAGUGGGGAAUAUUGCACAAUAGGGGAAACCCUGAUGCAGCAAUGCCGCGUGAGUGAUGACGGCCUUCGGGUUGUAAAGCUCUGUCUUCGGGGACGAUAAUGACGGUACCCGAGGAGGAAGCCACGGCUAACUACGUGCCAGCCGCCGCGGUAA